rnacentral:rRNA from 1 species
UACAUGGGGUGCAAACGUUGCUCGGAAUUAUUGGGCGUAAAGCGCACGUAGGCGGUUCGUUAAGUCGGAUGUGAAAGCCCUCGGCUCAACUGAGGAAGUGCACCCGAAACUGGCGAGCUUGAGUACGAAAGAGGAUCGCGGAAUUCCCGGUGUAGAGGUGAAAUUCGUAGAUAUCGGGAGGAACACCGGUGGCGAAGGCGGCGAUCUGGGCCGAUACUGACGCUGAGGUGCGAAAGCGUGGGGGAGCAAACAGG